rnacentral:rRNA from 1 species
GAUGAACGCUGGCGGCGUGCCUAAUACAUGCAAGUCGAGCGAACGGACGAGAAGCUUGCUUCUCUGAUGUUAGCGGCGGACGGGUGAGUAACACGUGGAUAACCUACCUAUAAGACUGGGAUAACUUCGGGAAACCGGAGCUAAUACCGGAUAAUAUUUUGAACCGCAUGGUUCAAAAGUGAAAGACGGUCUUGCUGUCACUUAUAGAUGGAUCCGCGCUGCAUUAGCUAGUUGGUAAGGUAACGGCUUACCAAGGCAACGAUGCAUAGCCGACCUGAGGGGGUGCUCGGCCACACCGGACCUGAGACGCGGCCCAGCCCCCCACGGGGGGCUGCAGUAGGGAAUUUUCCGCAAGGGGCGAAACCCUGACGGAGCAACGCCGCGUGAGUGAUGAAGGUCUUCGGAUCGUAAAACGCUUUUAUUAGGGAAGAACAUAUGUGUAAGUAACUGUGCACAUCUUGACGGGACCUAAACAGAAAACCCCGGCCAACUACGG